rnacentral:rRNA from 1 species
UACAGAGGUCUCAAGCGUUGUUCGGAUUCACUGGGCGUAAAGGGCGCGUAGGCGGCGCGGUAAGUCGAGCGUGAAAUCUCGGAGCUUAACUCCGAGACUGCAUUCGAUACUGCCGUGCUUGAGGACUGGAGAGGAGACUGGAAUUUACGGUGUAGCGGUGAAAUGCGUAGAUAUCGUGAGGAAGACCAGUGGCGAAGGCGGGUCUCUGGGCCGAUACUGACGCUGAGGAGCGAAAGCGUGGGGAGCGAACAGG